rnacentral:rRNA from 1 species
CCCUUAGAUGUUCUGGGCCGCACGCGCGCUACACUGACGAAUGCAACGAGCUUAUAACCUUGGCCGAAAGGUCUGGGUAAUCUCCAAAUUUCGUCGUGAUGGGGAUAGAUUAUUGCAAUUAUUAAUCUUCAACGAGGAAUGCCUAGUAAGCGCAAGUCAUCAGCUUGCGUUGAUUACGUCCCAGCCCUUUGUACACACCGCCCGUCGCACCUACCGAUUGAAUGGUCCGGUGAAGCCUCCGGAUUGGCGCGCACCCCGGUGCCGCCGAGAAGUUGGCUAAACCUUACCAUUUAGAGGAAGGUGAAGUCGUANCA